ACAAAGUUGCCAUAAUAUUUUAAAAUAUUAUGGAUUUCUUUUUAGUUGAAAUAUAUAUAGAUUGGAUGCUAUUCUAAAAGUAACUCAAAACUUUAACAAUGAUUUAUGGUACUUUUCAAGUAAAAGGUAUCGAUCCUACACAACACAUGCUAACAUUAUCACAAAUUAUUUUAAAACUACCGAAUUUUAUUUUAAAAAUAAGCAAUUAACUAUUGACAUUGGGUAUUUCAAAAUCAACAAAUUGAAAAACAUAUACCUUGGCACCAAAUUGGAAGUAAAAGCCGAGAACAGCCCCCAAAGGUAUGCCAACUCCAUAAUAACAAGCGACAUUCACAUAAGCAACAAAAGCUUGCCAUCCACACCCAACAGCCACCCCUUCAUUUCAUAUCAACAUUAUACUUAUCAAUUUUUAAAUAAAUACACCAAUUACACGCUUGAAUGAAUAAAAAUAAAAAAUCAAAACUGCAAUUAAAUCUAAAAUUAAGUUACCAGAUAAGACGGGUUGAAUGCCGUUGAGGAGAAUAGAAAGAGAGAGAAGUGGGCAAAGAUCAGAGACAGCAGCAGCGACAGUUUCACCUUCAGUGAAAACAUAGCUAAUAACAUCACGCAACGCAAGCACAAUUAAUGCUGCUAUUGCUGAUAUUAUGAAUGAUAUCAAUGUCACCACUUUCACUGAAAAUGAUGCUGAUUUUGGAUUUCUUGCUCCUAGUUCGUUGCUCACCCUCACGCUGCAUACAUUCAUUCAUUCAUUUUAAUUGGAUUUUAUAUUAUAUUAAGUCAGUUAUCAAACUAACAAUACUAGCUUAGUAGUCUAACCUUGCAGCUGCGUUGAAUCCAACAGAGAUCAUGAACACCCACCCAUUAACAGUCGUACUGCAAUCACAAAUAAUAAACAAACAAAUCAAACUUGUUUAUUAUUGUACUGGUGUUUUAAAUUUCACUAUUACAUUGUAUCCACAAACAAAUCAUUACAGGAUUGUCAUACAUCAAUUUUGAAUAUAUUUUUAAAUUAAAUUAAAUUUAAUAAUAAUAAACAAAAAACAUAUCAGAUUAAUUAUUUUUUUUUAACCAUCAAUUAAUCACAAAUAAACUAAAAAUAGUGAUAAUUUACCAAAUAGAAAGAGAGUCAAGAGCCAACUCAGGUUGCGGAAGAAGCCCAGCCAACAAAACCAAAAUCUGAAAGUACCAAGCCUCAAGGCAUAACAUAACAGCUGAAGCCGCCGACAACUUAAAAAACUCAGGCAAGCCAGAAAACGCUUCCCAAGUGAAGCCACGCCACGUGUACUUACACCUGUCACUCUUUACAAUAUAAACAAAUUGGGCCACAACAAUAAUCCACCAUGAUAAACUCAAAACCAAAGAUGCGCCCAAUAUGCCCAAACCAAUCUUAUACACAACAACAUAACUAAGCACAAGAUGAACCACCAACGUGGCUGCUGAAAUAUACGCACUUGGGAAAAUUAUACUCUGUGCUUGAAGAAAUUUCUGAAUUGGAAAAUUAACAGCAUAAGCGAAUAUUUGUGGGAUAAGCCCGUAGACAAAAACCGCUGCUGCAGACACGAUUGUUGGAGAUUGUCCAAUAAAAAUAAGAAUGGGUUCGCUUAAGACAUAAAUAACAGUGAGAAAUAAACCAGCUAUAGUUAGAAGAAUAGUUGAUCUUUGUAAAUAUGUUCCCAACAUUUCAAACUUUUCUGCUCCAAAUGCUUGUCCACAUAGUGUCUCAACCGCACUCCCCAUUCCUAACUGUAACAAAAAUAAUAAUACAAGUGUUUAAACAUUCCCACCACAACAACAACAAGUAUCCUCUAACGACAUUGGUUAAAGACUCCAUAACUCAGAUUCAAGAUCUGAUCGUCACAUUGUCAAUUUCUUCUUCUCUUAACUAAAUUAUAACAAUUAAUAUUUGCAUAUAAAAUAAACAUCACGCUACCGAUCUUUACCUUGUAACAAAAUAUAGUGAAUGGGACCACAAUUAAGAUUGUGGUUUUGUUGUAAAAAUCUCAAUAAUAACAAAAAAAUGUUGCGGUCACUGUUGAGAUUGCAUAUUACAAUUUGAAACUAAUGCUAAUAAAAUGAGAAAAUCCUUCAAAAAAAAAAACAGAGAGAAGAUAAUCAUAAGGGUGAAGGUGAGAUUUUCAGACAAAAUUUAGUUAUUAAUUUGUUGACAGAAAUUGAAUUUCUAUUAAAAUAAUUUUUGUCUUUAUUAUUUUUAAAGUUGCAUACAUUUAAUUUAUCACUAUACAGUGUGAUUUAAAUUGAUUGAGGUAAAAAACACGUGAUCCAAAAUUUAAACAAUUUGGAUAACUCCUUCAAAAAAUUGAUCUAAUUCAACCCACUUAAAUACGAUUUAAAUCAAAAUAGUUUUCCAUUCAUCCAAAUUCCAAUUAUAAUUUUUUUUUAUUAAUAUUAAUAUAAGAAAACUACAGUAAUUUAAUAGUUUGAUGUAACUAAAUUAAUAUACUACAAAAUAACAAUAAUUAUAUUUAAAACAAAUGAAAUAGUAAAAAAAAGUUAAAUAAAAUCAACAAGCUGUAUUAUUGAAAAAUAAUAAUACUAGACUGAUACAAUCUUUUUAUAAAUAAAAAAUUAAAAUGAAAGAAUGAUCCUCGAGUCAUAUUACAUACCAUGAGGCCAUAAGCAAGCAUUUGAAUUCCGGUAUUGCCGAGGGAAGCAGCGGCGAGUUCAAGGUUACCAAGGUGGCCGGAGAAGAUUUGUGUGGACAUAGACAUGACAUAGUUAAUUAGGUAAACGAAGACAGCUGGAGCAGCUAAAAAGAACAGAAGUCUAAGCUCAAUCCACGUGGCUGAGCCGACACGGCGGAGAAAUGGCACGGUGGUGUCCGAUAAAAGUCUCUCCAACUCGCCGUCAGAUUCGUGGAGAUUUGGCUUACCGAUGUUGUUGGAUAACAAAAGUGGUUCCUCAUUGCCGUUUUUGUUCACCGAUCCCAUCGGAGGAGCAGAGUUUUCGGCUCAGUCACUUACAGUUCUAUAUACAUUGUUUUUUCUUUUUAAUCAUUAUUAUUGUUUUAGAACCAUGCUCAACACAUGGGUUGUAUUUUAUUAUUUCUUCAUUGGCUAAUAUCUUAUUGUUUUUCUGAAUCAGUGACAAUAUUACAGUGGUCACAAAUUUCAGACAUCAAAUUAGAUACACAUAAAAAAAAUCUAUCUAAUAUAACUCCAUUCAUCGUCUAUUUUUAAUUAUUUAAUAUUUUAUUUUUAUCCCACAACUUUAAUUCUUUUCAAAAAUUAAAAUGUAAUGAAUAAUUUUUUUAUUUUAUAUUUUUAAAAUUCAAAAAAUAUGUAUUAAAUAAAUUUUACUUUUAUUUAAUAAAUGAAGGAUGAAAAAAAGUUAAAUAAUAAAAAUGUAUUAUUUCUUAAUAUGUAUGUCUAAAUUUAAAAGAAUCCAAAAUUUAAGAACGGAGAGAAUUAAUGUUAUUUAUCUAACAAAGAAGUAGAUAUCUUAGGCAUUUUCUUGUCUAUACAUUUUUAAUUAGGGAUGACAAUACAAUUCGUAAUUGCAAAUAGUUAUCUAAAUUUAAUUUAAUUUGGGCGAGAGAAAUCCAUUUUGAUUAAUUGGAGCUACAUAUCUUUUUUCAAAAAUAAAACUCAAGGGCGGGACGGAUUUAGGGUGUUGUCAUUUUUAAAUUUUAGAUACAUGUACAUAUUUAAUAUUUUUUAAUUGUACUAUUAUAUAAUAAUAAUAAUUUUACUAUAAAUAUAAUUUUGAUAUUUAUUAUUUAUUAUAUAAAAAUAUAUAUAAAUGUGGACAGAGAAACACGAAUCAGAUAGGGAGGGAUAGAAAAUUAAAUUUCACACCCUAAAAAUGGAUAUGAAUAUAAGUUUCUUUCAAUUGAGUGGGUGGAUGAUGAGAUAAAAUGUAUCAUCCCUCCGUUGCUUUGUCUAUUUCCAAUACUACCUUAGUUUUUUUUUUUUUGUUUUUUUAUAAUUCCGUAAUAUCAUCUCAACAUGUGCUAUUUUGGGACAUUCAUUUUAUAAGCAUUAGUAAUUACUGAGCAGCCACAGAACAAAAAAAAAAUUGAGAGUGACGAUAUUUAAUAAUUGUAUACAAUUUAGCUUAACAAAAAAAUAAAAAUCAUACAUCCUACAAAACCAAAUAGUAGACGAUAGACGAUUCCGGUACUGCAAUGUGGCGACUGGCGGUGGCGGUGGCGGUGCUUGCAAUUGCUGCAACGAAACUGUGAUGGCUUGAUGUAAUGGAUUUUGUUAAUUGAGUAAUCGAUUUUGUUUGUUACAAAGAUAUAAAUAUUAUAAUUUAUUAUAUUUAAUUUAUGUUAAAGGUGUGGAUUUUUUUCAAUUUACAUCUUUUUUUUUUAAAUUAAAAUAUUUAUUUUGAAACUAACGUAUCAAAAUCCCAUAAAUAAUAAAUCUUUGUAUUCUCAAGAUACAAUCUGCUAAACAGGGAAAUUUCCAAUGCAGUAUAAAUUCACAUCCAUAUUCUGUGACAUUUUGAAAACAAAAUAAUAAAAUAAUUGAAGACAUUAAUUUUAAAAUAAGAUAUUUUAGAAUUUAAAAAAAAACAUGUAUAAUUAAAAAAAGCCUAAAGCUGUGAGACAUUAAUUAUGACAUAGGAGUGGUGGAUACUAUACUAUAUAUAAGAGGCUACUAUAACACUACGUGUAACAGGGGUGGUGACAGCUUAGCUGAUUUAAUAAAAAAAAGUCGUUUUAGUGAUUUGCUAAGAUCCGUUAAUUUGAUUGGGUACAUGCUUAACUGUGGGGUUAAAUUAAUUGAAUUUUGGAGGGAUUACACGCACGUGGUUCAUAUGAUUUUCUCACCUUCUUGAACCAUAUUUAUUUUUCGAGAGAUAUUUUCGGAACACAGCAAACAAUACCCGACAACAUAUGUUAGGUUGGGUCAGAUGGGGACAUUGUGUGCAAAUUUAAGGAUGCAUGAAGAAUUGAGAACUCUUAAACCUAACGUUAUUAAUAAAUAAAUGGAAAAGAAGAUGUUUUAACGAGAAUAACAUCCUCACUUUCAGGUAUGGUCCUCUACAGCCUAAAUUCUUCAAUAAAUAUUAAAUAUGUAUAAUGAGAAAAUAUUUGUUAUGGUGGAAGGAUGUUAUGUUAGCUAGUUUCAAUUUGUAUGAUAGCUUGUGAUGGUUUCCUAAAAAUCUAUGUUGUAAAUUAGGAAAUGGGAAAAAUACAUUGUUUUUGUCGAAAUCUUUGAGAGAUUUAUUCCCUAUGCUAUUUGUUCAAUUUGAAAUCGUGUUAUUCCUUGUUGCACGAUAAUUCAAAUUUUUUGAAGAAUUAAUUACAACAGAAAUUUUGUGUUUAUUUUUAGUGAAAGUAGCUUAUUUGUUAAAUUUGGUAACAACCGUCAAAAUGUUUUCUUGGGACCACGGUUCAUUUCUAAGGUGGCGAAAAAACCCUUGCUAUAUGUGUAUGCAAAUCGGUGGAAUAACUCUAUGAGUUGUAUAAAAAGUGGUUAAUGUACUUCCUUUAAUAUUAUUUUUACUUACAAAAAAAGUAGACACAAUAAUUUAAUAUUGUACUAUAACAGUAAAUAUAUAUUAAUAUAACAAUAUAAAUAAUAUUUAGUAAACAAAAGUAAUACAAUUUUUCCGAAAAAAAAUAUAAUAUAUAGGACGGGUGAUAGAGAAAUACAUAUAAAAAUAAAUGAAUGGUGAUAGAAGAAAGAUGAAGUAAGAGAGAGAUGAUAGAAAAAAAAAAAGCAUAAAGUGAAAAAAUGACAUAUUUAACCCAAAUAAAAGUAUGAUAAUAUUUGGAUUAAAAGAAUAGAUAUGAUAUUUUGGUAGUAGUUUGCCUAAAAAAAGAGUAGAAACUCAUUGCCUCAAAUUAAAUCAAACAAGGAAACUAAUAAACUCUGUGACUAGCUACCUCAUCUAUAUAAUUAACCAUUCUAAAUUGCUUUCUUAUUUUUUAGAAGAAUUCAUAAUUGGCUUCCAUCUAAAAAUAGCAUAUGAGGUUUUUACUAUUAACCUCUACAUAAGACAAUUGUUAUCCAAUUUUCUAGUUUAAAAGAAGGGGCUCCUUUUUGUCCUCCCAUUUGUUCAACCUCUUAUCUGCUUCUUGUACCUACAAAUAGAAGAAAUAUUGUAUUAAACAGUAACAAUAACUCUUCAGUUUCUUUCCAAAAUAAUUAAUUAAUAUAAGAAGGAAAAAAUUAAAUGUAUUAUUUGUAUUGCUUAUGGAAAUAAAGUUAUUGCAAGUUUUCUUUUACCUCUUUGUUCCAAUCCGUUCUAAAUGUGACCCACAUUAGAAUAACUGUCUGCAUAGUAGUUCCACCAAGCAUUCCUAGCCAUAUUCCCUAUCACAAAGAUGCCAUAAAAAUAUGAUGUAUUUGUUUUUAGCUGAACUAUAUAUGUUUUUAGCAAACAAAAUACAAAUUUUUAAAACAUAUAUAUAUACAUAUAUAUAUAUAUAUAUAUAUAUAUAUAUAUAUGUGAAAUAAUUAGCAUAUAUACAUUUAAAAGAGAUGAUAUUUUUUGUUAUUCUAAUAUUGUAUAGAAAUAAACUAAAUUUAUAAAUAAAAAAAUACUAGUAACAUACUCUUUUUAAUAUACACUCAUCAAUUGAUUAAAUACAAUUUGGUCUCACUAAAUUAAGUAGACCCUCAAUAAAUUUAUUGGGACUAAUUUGAAUUUCAACCUAUUAAAACAUCUACAAUGAAAAGAGUAGGAUAUAUAUGUUACAAAUAUAAUUUAUGAAUCUUGCACAAACAAUAAUAAUAAUAAUUCAUGAAUAAUUCCAAAAUAACCAAAGAAACAUAUAGGUUUGCUUUUUUUAUAGAUUUAAAAAAUAAAUUUUUUAACUAUAUAUUUAAAAACGAUUUUUACGAAAAUUCAUUCAUAAAUAAUAUAAGUAAUUGUAUAUUUAUUUUGUAUAGAUAAAGAAAAAAGUAAUUUUAAUAUUUUAUAAAAUAAAUAUUUAUUAUUAAAUAUUUUAAUAUGAUAAAAAUCACAUAUGUUUAAAAAAUAUAUCUGUAAACAAUAAUUUUUGUGAGAAGUUUCUCAAAAUAAUUUUUUAUUUUUAAAUUUUUAUUAUUCAAAAAGAUUUUAACAAAUAGAUGAAAUACCUAAAAUGAUACUGUAUAAUAAUUAUUUAAACCAACUUAUCAUUUGAAAUUCUGUUUUUAAAGAAAUUAUAACAAAAAAAAUUAUUUAAAAAAUUACAAAAAAUGAAUCAUAAUAUACCUUAGCACCAAAUUGGAAGUAAAAGCCGAGAACAGCUCCCAAAGGUAUGCCAACUCCAUAAUAACAAGCGACAUUCACAUAAGCAACAAAAGCUUGCCAUCCACACCCAACAGCCACCCCUUCAUUUCAUAUCAACAU
rnacentral:lncRNA from 1 species